rnacentral:rRNA from 1 species
UACGGAGGGUGCGAGCGUUGUCCGGAAUCACGGGGCGUAAAGGGCGCGUAGGCGGCGCGGGCAGUCAACGGUGAAAGCUUGGGGCUCAACCCCGAGUCGGCCGUCGAUACUCCCGUGCUUGAGCACUGUAGAGGCAGGUGGAAUUCCGGGUGUAGCGGUGGAAUGCGUAGAGAUCCGGAAGAACACCGGUGGCGAAGGCGGCCUGCUGGGCAGUAGCUGACGCUGAUGCGCGACAGCGUGGGGAGCAAACAGG